CAGGCCUAACACAUGCAAGUCGAGCGGUAACAUUUCUAGCAUGCUAGAAGAUGACGAGCGGCGGACGGGUGAGUAAUACUUAGGAAUCUACCUAGUAGUGGGGGAUAGCUCGGGGAAACUCGAAUUAAUACCGCAUACGUCCUACGGGAGAAAGGGGGCAACUUGUUGCUCUCGCUAUUAGAUGAGCCUAAGUCGGAUUAGCUAGAUGGUGGGGUAAAGGCCUACCAUGGCGACGAUCUGUAGCUGGUCUGAGAGGAUGAUCAGCCACACCGGGACUGAGACACGGCCCGGACUCCUACGGGAGGCAGCAGUGGGGAAUAUUGGACAAUGGGGGAAACCCUGAUCCAGCCAUGCCGCGUGUGUGAAGAAGGCCUUUUGGUUGUAAAGCACUUUAAGCAGUGAAGAAGACUCUUCGGUUAAUACCCGGAGACGAUGAUAUUAGCUGCAGAAUAAGCACCGGCUAACUCUGUGCCAGCAGCCACGGUAAUACAGAGGGUGCAAGCGUUAAUCGGAAUUACUGGGCGUAAAGCGAGCGUAGGUGGCUUGAUAAGUCAGAUGUGAAAUCCCCGGGCUUAACCUGGGAACUGCAUCUGAAACUGUUAGGCUAGAGUAGGUGAGAGGGAAGUAG
rnacentral:rRNA from 1 species